GAAGAUGAUCUGUUCAUUUUUUUUUUAGCUAGGUUGGUCCAGAAUCUGCUGAGAAAUUCUGCAAGGCUUUCCAGACCAUUUACAAAAAACUUGUCUUCAAUGAACUUAGUGAAGAUGCUGCACAGAGAUUUAUAAAUUCUACAUCAAAUUUCAGAGGGUAGCAAUUUAUGCCUUUCUGAAAACAAGAUACAUGAAGUUAUCAUGACAUUUCCUCUGGGAGAAAAUUAAAGUGGUGAAAAAGGUUUUAAAACUGAAAAUUCUAUGUACGCAUGGUAUUUAGCAAUGCUGCGAAAAGAAAGAAUGCGACUGAUGUUAGAAAUUUGUAUUUUAUUAAUUUGUUGAUCCCAAACAAUUCUGACUGCUGGUGUUCUAGGUAAAAUUUGUGGAAUUCCUAAGUUGACUGAAUUGAGUUGUUAUGAUCGAGGGAUAAAUUUGAAGAAACAGAUAUGAAACAUGUAAAUUGCAUUUUAAUGAAAAUUACAGUUGCAAAUUUGUUAAUUU